GACGAACGCUGGCGGCGUGCUUAACACAUGCAAGUCGAACGGAAAGGCCCCCUUGUGGGGUACUCGAGUGGCGAACGGGUGAGUAACACGUGAGUAACCUACCCUUGACUUUGGGAUAACUUCAGGAAACUGGGGCUAAUACCGGAUAGGAGCUCCUGCUGCAUGGUGGGGGUUGGAAAGUUUCGGCGGUUGGGGAUGGACUCGCGGCUUAUCAGCUUGUUGGUGGGGUAGUGGCUCACCAAGGCUUUGACGGGUAGCCGGCCUGAGAGGGUGACCGGCCACAUUGGGACUGAGAUACGGCCCAGACUCCUACGGGAGGCAGCAGUGGGGAAUAUUGCACAAUGGGCGGAAGCCUGAUGCAGCAACGCCGCGUGCGGGAUGACGGCUUUCGGGUUGUAAACCGCUUUCGCCUGUGACGAAGCGUGAGUGACGGUAAUGGGUAAAGAAGCACCGGCUAACUACGUG
rnacentral:rRNA from 1 species